rnacentral:tRNA from 1 species
GGCACUUUGGCGGAGUGGUUAACGCGCUGGCCUGCUAUCCUCCUUCGGGAAGCAGUUAAGCCAGUUCCUUCGGGAGCGUGAGUUCGAAUCUCACAGGUGUCG